UUAAAUAUUAUAUCAUACUCAGACAGCAAUAUAAAGGAAUUAAUGGGUCCUCUGGCAAGCACAAACCAGCCAAGGCCAGUAGUUGUAAAACAGGCCUGCCAAAGCAACAAAGGUAUUAUAGACAAAGGGUGGGAGAUAUACCCUAAAAGAGCAUGUUUCUCUGUAAUGAUCCUUCCGCAGGUUCACCUACGGAACGCAAACUCUACUAGUUUUUACAAGAGUAGGCCGGUCAUAUCUAAAUCCUAUGGUUACAGCUAAGCAGGUAACAGCACCAAGGACCACCUUUGUUUGAUCUGUGAACUGCAGUUAGCAGCUGCUUGUUACCUUUAGGUAUCCAAGCACAUUAAAGGUGUUGCCUAUAUAAUAGACUGGGAUCAAGGCUUCAGUAUGGAGUGUUUCAUGAAAA
rnacentral:misc_RNA from 1 species